rnacentral:misc_RNA from 1 species
AAAAAAGUGCAUAUCAAAUAGGUAUUCUUUUAUUUUUGAAUUUUCCAAAACAAUUUGCUCAAGUGAACAAGUACUAUUACUGCCUUCCGGUGUCAGCAGGCAAUAUCUCAAUUCCUUAAACUCAGAGUUGACAUCAAUUUGGUAAGCUCUAAGCAGGUGUUAAAAUAUAUGACUAGUUAUAUCUUCCAGUCUCUCCAUCGUUAAAGACACAGCACAGCAUUAACUCUAUGGUCUGCCAAUUUUCGUCACUACACCAGGAAUUUGGUAACUACAAAAAGAUUGAAAAAUUAUUGCACCAACAUGCAUUUAGUUUAAUCACUGAUGGCGAGAGAUGUUUUCAAUCUUCCAACCAGAUGUGGUAGUGCCUUGAUGUUAUCUUGGAUUGACUGGUCGACACAUGACUCCAGAGCAUUCACAGCUUCAGAUCCAACCUGUUGGAGCUUAGCUGCCUCAAACUUGUCUUGGCAGACCAUCAAAGACCUAUUCAACCUUUCCUGCAUUCAAUUAGAAAAAUCGAUAUCAGUAUUACGCGAUGCAAUAACCUGAUGAGGAUUUUCCGAAAUAUAACAGUGCUGAUAAGAUAUAUUGACAAGAUGUACACUAAAGCACCUAUGCAAGGUACAUUGUUUGUCUAACACUAACUCUCUCAGACACACUCACAAGUCACAAACGAAAAACAUGCAUGCACACAAGCAUGCAGCAUUGAGCCGCAAGAUUCUAAUUUCUCAAGGGUGGCACAAUAUGAUAAAAACACAAUAGUGCCACACAAGUCUUGAAGAUUCAGAAAUUCAACCACGCAAUAACAAGCAUAAUCAAUCCCUCAUGGAACUCCCACAUCCAACUCUACAAACAAUAUCUAUACCAGCAAUAGAGGAAAAAAACUGACUGAAUGGAUGGUUUGGUCCCAUAGCUCCUUAAGCCACAAUAUUUUGAGUUCUCCAACAGUAAACUCAGGAGGCAUUAUUAUCAAGAAAAUUGAUAGAUGGAUAAGCACUUUGAUUCACAGCUUAUACUUUUUAUUUUUGUACUAAUAAUGCAUAUUUUAGAAAAGAAAGAUCAGAAAAUUUUCUUUCAAGCAGAAGCAACGUCUUUUUCCAUCUCUUAAAGACAAAACCUUUCUAAAACAUAAAUAACUGCUCGCAUGAAUGCUAUAGUUACUUGUUUCACCUUUUAGCAGAAGCCAAAUAUAUUUGCAGAAGAAAAAUUGCAUUUUGAAAAGUAAAAAGAAUUUAAUAAAACAGAAACAGGAAGAAAAGGUACAACAAAUAUGGAAUAAUCACCCUGGCCUUGCCAAUUCAGCCAUUUCCUCAAACACAUUCCAAAAAAAUACCCAUUUCACCAACUUAACUAUGUUUGGCACUUUGGCUAAAUCUAAAAUGGGAGGGAAAAAGAAACAUACAAUGUCAUGCUCUAUGGUUUUCUAAUUUCCAAAAAUACCCAUUUCGGAUUUGUUUUCCUUAUCUUUUUUAAACUUAUGGUUUGCCUGACCUAAAACCUGUGUGUGCAAGAGAAAGAGAGAGAAAGGCGGUGAGCUUUCAGUUUUGUGAUAUGACGCAUUUGGAGAGUAAGUUAGGAAGUACAGAGUACUGUAGCUCUUCCCACAUUUAAUUAGGCUUCAUAAUAAUUUUUUAAUUAAACUCUUAAUCUUUCUCUGUGUCUGCUAACUAAAGUCUUGUUUGGCAUUGAAUUUCAAAGCCUGAAACUGCUUUUCUGAGUAAAAGUAACAUUUUAGAUAUUGUUGAAAAAAGUAGUUUGAAAAAAGUUGUUUUGUU